CUAGGAGCUAGCCCCCGCUCUUUUCAUUAUCUUUGCCUUUCUCUGCAAAAGCGCGAGAGACAGAGAAAGCAAUAAGAAAUGUCACUCUUGCAAAACCCUCUCCAAAUUCGACCGUUGAUUCGCUACCCAUUUCAAAACUGCCCCAACUCCUUCCAACCCACCACCCCAAGCCUCCAUUUCCGUCCCAAAACACCUCCAAAGCCAAUCCAUUUCCACCCAUCAACACCCAAAUGCCAGCAGACCCAUCAUUCCAGCCCCCAACCCAGAACCCAGGACGACGGCAUCCCCGCCGAGGAUGUCAAAACCCUCGCCAAGUUCAAGUCCAGGUACAAUUACAUCCGUGUCCUCGAAGUUUCCCGGAGAGCCGACCACCCUUUCGCCGGCUCAAGGCUUCUCCUUCUAGACGUCCCCGGAAACAUCCACAGCAUCUCUUAUAUCUUCAAGAACCUCACCAACACUUAUUUCGACGUUUUCGCCACCUUCCCGCCCAUUUUGCCUCCCGGACCCCUCGCAAUUCUUGGUUUUGGGGCGGGUACGGCCGCCCGGUCCAUUCUGGAGCUGUACCCGCAAGGGGUGGUUCAUGGGUGGGAGAUUGACCCAACUGUGGUUGCUGUGGCAAGAGAGUACUUUGGCCUUUCUAAGCUCGAAAGGCAGUUCCCAGAUAGGCUUGUAAUCCACAUCGGAGACGCAUUUAAAGCCUCGUCGAAAGAUGGGUUUGCCGGAAUUUUGGUGGAUUUGUUUGCCCAAGGGAGUUUGGUCCCGGAGCUUCAAGACCCAAAUACUUGGGAGAUGCUCACCAGGUGUUUGAGAAAAGGCGGGAGAGUAAUGGUCAAUGUGGGAGGCAGUUGCGUGGAGGCUGAGGACCCGCAGAAAGAUGGGAAAGUAGUUAUGCAAGACACUUUGAAGGCUAUGCAUCAGGUUUUUGGCGACAAGCUCUUUGUAUUGAGUCUUGGGAAUCGGCAGGAAGAUAGUUCCAUUGCUCUUACUGGUGAUGUGCCUGAUGUUGAGGCUUGGAAGAAGGCGCUGCCACCUUCUCUAGCUGGUUAUGUUGACAUGUGGAAGCCAUUCAGUGGUUAAAUCGCAUAUUUGCUAAUCAUAUGAAUUUUAGAGCCUACAAUGGCAUAGUGUGGCAUUGUCUUCUUCAAGUGCUGGCGAUGGAUCUUAGACCUGUUGUGCAACCCAUAUAAGUGGGGGAGCCAAGUUAAGGCCUACAGAGUUGGUACUUGGUAGGAGGUUAAGAAGUCGUAGUUGAAAACUAGUUUUACACCCAAAGUUGAUGCUUACCUUGGGAUUCGUCAAUCUUCAUGUUGCCUAUCCAUUUCACGAAGAGGGACAUACAUUGUCAAAAUCAGCUGCUCAAUUUGAGACCGAGAGUAAUGGAAUCUCCUCUUUUUUAACCCAGAUUCUUAACUUGGUAUUCUUUUUGUGGUUUUUGGUUUCUUUGAGCAACUUGAUGGAGCGGCUGACUUCAGAGCGAAUUCAGAAUCCAGCUGUAUAUCCUAAAUCACCAGUUUUUGUGGGAGGCUUCUAUUUUGUUCUGAUGGAGAGGUCCUGAUAAGAAAGUGAGGAUGCUGUCCUACUCACUAGCUGUACACCUAGUAUGUGGAAAGUUGGAAACUGAAGUCAAAUUGCGUCUAUAUAUUAGUGUCUGUGCCUUCCAUGAAAGCAAGGGAAAUAAUACUUCGGGUCGAAGUCAACGCCAUAUUUUCCUCAACCUAACAAUAGAUAAUCCUCCUUACCAAACCCUUAUUAAAUAACCAAAACAGUAGUUUAAGCACUUAUACAGCUCAAGUAGUGAAUCUAUAAAUCUUUCUUCAUCAUUUUCAAUAUCCUAGGAUCAUGACGAAACAUUCACACUGAAAGGCUCCACAACUUCUUGAAUCCUGCUUUCCAUGAUGAGUGGUUUUCCGAAGAAGUUGGUUUUAGCUGUAGUUGCUAUAUAUCUUCUCGUGGGUCUUCUACCUGUAAAUUCUGCAGUAUUUUCUCAUGGGGGUGAGAGGAGCUUAUGGCAUAUUGACUGUAGAGAUGGCUUGAAGAAGAUUACUGGAAGAAGAGAAGGUAACUUUGGAUGUCAAGGUGACAUUGUUAGCAUGAAAACAAAGCCCACCCGCAGUUUAAGAACAACCCUGUCCCCACCACCUCCGCCCUUUAAAAGUAAAGCAGGAUCACAGCGUGAUGCUGCACCUCCUCCAUCUGUUUCAUGAUGGCUAUGUAUGUCUUAUGUACUCUGCAGAUGUUGAUCGUUCCCUUGGGAAGUUUUCAUUUCGACUUUGUUGCCUCAUUUGUAAGUCCAUUUGGCUUUGUGGUCUUUAGACAAGAAGCUACUUGAGUGAAAAUAGUUUGAAUUCCUCAUAUGAGUGAGAGUAAAAGUAUGUAAAUCUAUUGAAUAUUUUCAGUACAUAUAUAUAAUCCA